GCUGCGCCUCAGCGCCCUGCAGAAGGCCCAGUUUCCACAGAGUGAAAUAGCCUAUCUUUCAAGCCAAGAAAGCCUUCUUCCCCAAAGAAAGAAAUGGGUCCAGUAGUGGCUGACACACUCAAGAACCCGCAGAAACCCAGCUAAGUUCCCAGUUGAGAUAAACCAGUGGCCCUCAUGACACUGACGCUCUUCCCAGUCCGGCUCCUGGUUGCCGCUGCCAUGAUGCUGCUGGCCUGGCCCCUCGCACUUGUCGCAUCCCUGGGCUCUGCGGAGAAGGAACCCGAGCAGCCCCUGGCCCUGUGGAGGAAGGUUGUGGACUUCCUGCUGAAGGCCAUCAUGCGCACCAUGUGGUUCGCCGGCGGCUUCCACCGGGUGGCCGUGAAGGGGCGGCAGGCGCUGCCCACCGAGGCGGCCAUCCUCACGCUCGCGCCUCACUCGUCCUACUUCGACGCCAUCCCGGUGACCAUGACGAUGUCCUCCAUCGUGAUGAAGGCAGAGAGCAGAGACAUCCCGAUCUGGGGAACUCUGAUCCGGUAUAUACGGCCUGUGUUCGUGUCCCGGUCAGACCAGGAUUCUCGCAGGAAAACAGUAGAAGAAAUCAAGAGACGGGCGCAGUCAAACGGAAAGUGGCCACAGAUAAUGAUUUUUCCAGAAGGAACUUGUACAAACAGGACCUGCCUAAUUACCUUCAAACCUGGUGCAUUCAUCCCUGGAGCGCCCGUCCAGCCUGUGGUUUUACGAUAUCCAAAUAAACUG
rnacentral:sRNA from 1 species